AUAUAUAUUUUCUGUGUUUGUCUGUUUAGAUUUAGCAAGAAAAACAAGGACAAAAUCGAUCCAUACACAUACAUGCCUUUUGGGUCUGGGCCAAGGAACUGCAUUGGCAUGAGAUUUGCUCUGGUGAUGAUCAAAUUGGCCGUGGUAGAGAUUCUCCAGCAGUACAGCUUCUCUACUUGUAAAGAGACUGAGAUCCCUUUUGAGAUGGAUGUCCAGGGUUUUCUUGCACCGAAAAGACCCAUCCAACUGAAGCUGGUGCCUCGCUCCUGAUCUACCAGCCAAAGGAAUACAUCAGUUUGACAGAUUUUAUAUCUUCACUAUGUGCAGUUUACAUUGUUAUUCCACAGAAAAAGUUUAAUAAAAAUUUACCAUUGCAUGUC